rnacentral:tRNA from 1 species
GGCCCUGUAGCUCAAGUGGUUAGAGCUUCCGACUCAUAAUCGGCAGGUUGCGGGUUCAAGUCCCGCUGGGGUCACCA